ensembl:snoRNA
GACCUCCUGGGAUUGUGUCUAGAGAAUAGCUAGUGUUCUAUGAGCUUUGGAAACAGAAGGGAAAGCAAGCCCAGCAGAGGUACCCAUUCCAUUCCCAGCUUGCUCAGUAGCUGGCAAAUAGAAAACACUCUGUAGCUAGG